CCUCCUCCUUUGACUGGAUGGGAGGAGGAGAAGGAAUCGCAGAAGGAGCCCAGGCCCAAUCAAAGCACUCCCGGCAGAGGGCCAUGCAACUCAAGACUCGUGGGAGGGCCUUGCAGUCCUGCUCUCUCCCUUGGCCCCUCGCCGCCCUCCGCGCGCCCCCGCGGUUGCCACGGCGACGGAGGGCUUGAAAAGAAUAAAUCUUUCACAGAAAGGAAACAUAUCACCAAUAGAAGUUAUCAUCACUUAAUUCAAUGGAAGUGGCCCCAAGGUAAGUGCAAGCAAUACCACAGAUUAUAUUAUGGAAUAAAUAAAUGUUCUGCUAAUAAAAGCAAGCUCCUUUAAAGACAUAUAAUGCACUGAAAUCAUCUGUCCAUGCAUCUUGGAAAAAGAAUUUGAAGUGUGGGACAAGGGGCUAUUUGAUCUUGUUAGCUGUGUUUAAUCAUUAAACACCGGUUCUAGAUACUUAGUGUUAUACUGCAGUCUAAGUGGGGAACAAGGAAGAAAUACUGUAGUUGAAUGUAGCAUAGGUUUAACUUCUUAAGAAACGAUUACUUGUCAUUGCUUUAUUUAAUAUUUGCUUUUUGCUUUUUCUUAUUUUAUCAUAAAUAACACAUUGAGUAGCUGCUCUUCAAGCUGUAGCUGUUAAGAUCAGCUUAAAAUUUAAAAAACUCAGGAAAUAUAAAAAUUGACAAACAUAAAUGCAGCAGCCAUUUUUUUUAAAUUAUGGCACAUCCCAUAAUUCUGUCUUGUUUAAAACAUUAAUAAAACAUUUGGUCUUAAUUUCUCUAAACCUGCCUAGUCACUUACUCUAGCAAUAGUACUUUUAUCCCUACAUUAUUUAGCAACAUUAUUUAGUGCUUUGUUAUUUAAUAUAGCCUGCCUUUUCUUCAAGAUAAGAUAAAUGGCAUCUGCACAUGUGAUUGGGGGGGGGGGGGGGAUGACCAUUCCCAUUGUCCCAAUACUUAUGUUGACUGGAGGUGAGGAGAUAUAAUUCCACACUUCCAAAGAACAUCAACUUGGAAAGGCUGAUCUAAAUGUACAUUUACUUGACCUAUCCCCACCUUCCAUAAUAACUACAUGGUCAGUAACUGAAUGUCCCUUUACAUGUCAUUAAACAGAAUAAGAAAAAAGAUGACAAAUGCCAAUCUAUAGUUUAUUGUAGCACAUACAAUACUACACAUUGGUAAAGAUGACAGGUUGUGAGGUUUGCUUCACAUGAAAUUUAAGAAACUGAGGUAAUAACAAAAGCUAGGUACAGAAACUGACUUUCAGACGGUUGAAACUUACUUGAAUACUGACAAUGGAAUCUUGUCCUCCAAAGCAACUGAAACAGAAGACAUGCUUAGGAUGCCAUAAGAUGGUUGUAUGAUAUCCAGACAGGGUAUUUGUCCUCCAAAAGAGAGUAAUAGUUGGACAGUUCAAGAGAAACAAGUAAGAAGCUACCACUAUUCCAUCUGCUGCUUGAGGUGGUUGCCUCAUUCCACCAUUUAGGGCUGACUCUACCGCUAGUUAGAACAGGCCUGCAGAACCUGUGACCCUUCAGGUUUUGGCACUCCAACUCCCAGAAAUCCUAACCAGCUUGUCCAAUGGUCAGGAAUUCUGGGAGCUGAAGUACAAAACACCUGUAGGAUCAUAAGUUGUGCAGGCCUGAGCUAGAGUGAGGGCAAAAGUAUCACAGUAUCAAUGAGUAGGAAAAGGGGGGGGGGG